rnacentral:lncRNA from 1 species
AUUACCUCCACCACCACCACCGCCGCCCCCAGAGCCAGAGCCAGAUCCCUACCUGUUUGGCUUCUGGAAGGAACGCUUCACUGAUCAAGACAUCAAGACCAACAAACCUGGGCGAGACGAUAAGCCAGUGCCUAUUGAGAACAUGCCCUCAGACAUAGUCUGGGGCAAUGAGAAACCCCCUGAAAACCUCAAGCUGAGCAACCCUGGCCCAUCUGGCGAUAACCUAAGACCCAUUGCAGAUGGUGCUCCUAAUCCUAAUCCUACGGGCGGACCGGGUCCUGAAGCAGCAGCUAAAGCACCCAAGAAAAAGUGCACCAUUUUGUAGAUUCUCUGACACAUUCACUAGUGCCUUAACACAUAGACAGCACCGAAUCUAUCAGUUAGCUAAGCUAAAUUGUUUUUUUUUAAAGAUUUCGUAUGCUCAACACGAAGUUUACUUUGUCAUUUCAGUAUCUAUAUGAUAUCCAGUAAAGAGUGAGGAACUUCCUCUGGAAGUCUGGAUAUUUAAAUUUGUAUUUGCUUGUUUUUGCAUCAUAUUUAUUUCCAUGCCCAGCAAGUUAGAAAGUAUUGGUCGUAAAAAAGAUAAAGGAAAAUAUUACAAGACUCCAAUUCUGUUAGCUGUUUCAAGCAUCAAAACUUGGCCAUAUAUGAACAAUUUCAAUGUCUACACCCACACUGGCUUGUACACCAGUUUUCCAGAAUAAUGAACACUAUCCAGUUCUGUUAAAUGGAGGAAGGGCAUGCGUUACUUAAUUCAGUAGGAAUAAUAAAGGCCACUACAGUCAGGGCACCCAGAAAAUGAAAUAGUGAUAUCGCGAGCCGUAUUUGAGAAAAACCACUGGUAUGUUUGUCCUCACUUAUCAUGAUUUCUUUACCCUGAUGCUAAGAAGUUCUUAAUUUAGUUCUAUCAUGGCCAAAUCAAUAUUUAAAAAAGUACCAUCACAUAUCUUCUUCCUGAUCAAAAUGAACAAUGUGCCACACUGAAAUAGAACUUAGUUAAUAUUUAUUAUAUAACCUACACUUACACAACCUGUUGAUUUUUUUUAAAUAUCAAAAGCUACUAUUCCUAGUUAGCAGCUCAAAUGAUGUAAAAUAAUUCCAUUCUGCAACUCCAGAUUUAUACUUUUGUUUGUACAUGCAAAGACAAUAGAGAUCACUAGAAAGCAUGAUAAAGUAAGAAGGUGAUUCAUUUUUAUUUACAUAUGUUACAUUUAAUGAGUCACUUGUUAUAGAUAUCUUAUCCCUCCAUGUUCAUUCUAGAUCUCUAGCAAAAUACAAUUUUUUUUCAAUCUGAGAAAAGUUUUUAAAGUUUAAUUUCGUCAGUACUUUGAUUCUUUUAAUAACUGUUUGUGAUUGCUUGAACACUAAAUAUAAAACAUGUAAGCUACUCUUUCAGAAUAUCUAGUCAAAAACUAGAAAGGAAACCUUUUCAUUUUAAGUAAAAUACAAGAGAUUCUGUACUGUAGUAGAAAGAGUGUGAUGUCAUGUUUACCAAAUUUACUUACCGCAUUAAGUUUUUUGUAAAACAUUGUUGAGAAACUGCAGAAUAUUUUGUUUCUAAUAAAGAGUCACAAACAACAUAGAUA